rnacentral:rRNA from 1 species
ACGCACGCUGGCGGCGCGCCUAACACAUGCAAGUCGAACGAGCGAGAGAGAGCUUGCUUUCUCGAGCGAGUGGCGAACGGGUGAGUAACGCGUGAGGAACCUGCCUCAAAGAGGGGGACAACAGUUGGAAACGACUGCUAAUACCGCAUAAGCCCACGGUGCCGCAUGGCACAGAGGGAAAAGGAGCAAUCCGCUUUGAGAUGGCCUCGCGUCUGAUUAGCUAGUUGGUGAGGUAAUGGCCCACCAAGGCGACGAUCGGUAGCCGGACUGAGAGGUUGAACGGCCACAUUGGGACUGAGACACGGCCCAGACUCCUACGGGAGGCAGCAGUGGGGAAUAUUGCACAAUGGGGGAAACCCUGAUGCAGCGACGCCGCGUGGAGGAAGAAGGUCUUCGGAUUGUAAACUCCUGUUGUUGGGGAAGAUAAUGACGGUACCCAACAAGGAAGUGACGGCUAACUACGU